rnacentral:rRNA from 1 species
UGGGGAAUUUUGGACAAUGGGGGAAACCCUGAUCCAGCCAUCCCGCGUGUGCGAUGAAGGCCUUCGGGUUGUAAAGCACUUUUGGCAGGAAAGAAACGUCAUGGGUUAAUACCCCGUGAAACUGACGGUACCUGCAGAAUAAGCACCGGCUAACUACGUGCCAGCAGCCGCGGUAAGACGUAGGGUGCAAGCGUUAAUCGGAAUUACUGGGCGUAAAGCGUGCGCAGGCGGUUCGGAAAGAAAGAUGUGAAAUCCCAGAGCUCAACUUAGGAACUGCAUUUUUAACUACCGGGCUAGAGUGUGUCAGAGGGAGGUGGAAUUCCGCGUGUAGCAGUGAAAUGCGUAGAUAUGCGAAGGAAAACCGAUGGCGAAGGCAGCCUCCUGGGAUAACACUGACGCUCAUGCACGAAAGCGUGGGGAGCAAACAGG